UACGUAGGGUGCGAGCGUUGUCCGGAAUUAUUGGGCGGAAAGAGCUUGUAGGUGGUUUGUCGCGUCUGCUGUGAAAAUCCGAGGCUCAACCUCGGACUUGCAGUGGGUACGGGCAGACUAGAGUGUGGUAGGGGAGACUGGAAUUCCUGGUGUAGCGGUGGAAUGCGCAGAUAUCAGGAGGAACACCGAUGGCGAAGGCAGGUCUCUGGGCCAUUACUGACGCUGAGAAGCGAAAGCAUGGGGAGCGAACAGG
rnacentral:rRNA from 1 species